UACGUAGGGUGCGAGCGUUAAUCGGAAUUACUGGGCGUAAAGCGUGCGCAGGCGGUUUUGUAAGCCAGAUGUGAAAUCCCCGGGCUUAACCUGGGAAUGGCAUUUGGGACUGCAAGGCUGGAGUGCGGCAGAGGAGACUGGAAUUCCUGGUGUAGCAGUGAAAUGCGUAGAUAUCGGGAGGAAUACCGAUGGCGAAGGCAGGUCGUCUGGGCUAGUAACUGACGCUCAUGCACGGAAAGCGUGGGGAGCAAACAGG
rnacentral:rRNA from 1 species